ACGCAGCGCCGGUACCUCGAUUCCUUAAAGAUUCUUCAAAGAAUUUCAGGAAUUCCAUAUUCGCGUCAACCUGGAAAUUAUAUUCCGUAGACGUAAUUCAAUUUUUUAAGAGAGUGCGACAUUCCUGCUGAAAUAUUUAGAAAAAUAUGUCCGAGGAAUAUUCAGGCAUAGUAUCCAACGGAAGUAUUAUACAUAACACGUAUUAUAUUCAAAGGCAUAAAAAUUCCUGCAAAUAUAGAGGAAUACGAAGUUAUGGCAACUAUCUACUGUUAUUACACCAGAAAAGACCAAGAACAGCAAUAAGCCUUUGAGUAUCUUUGAAACCUUUACCACAGUCUUGCCAACCGUAGUGCAAGUAAACUGCUUCGACAGCCACUUGAUAUUCGAAUUAUUACGAGGUUUCCAUAAGCUCUCGUAUAACUACUAAAGUCUCUGAUACCUUUGAAGGCAUUUCGUAUUGUGGGCGAAGUUUGGUACGUCGAAGGAUAACUAAUGCCUUUAAGGAUAUUUUGAAAUUCAUGAAAUUUAUUUACAAUGCAAAAUUUCGGAUAACAAUAGACUAUAAGAGGAGAGAAGAGGACAAAUUCUGA